CGCGUAGGUGGUUUUGUAAGUUGGGUGUGAAAUCCCCGGGCUCAACCUGGGAACUGCAUCCAAAACUGCAAGACUAGAAUACGAUAGAGGGGGGUAGAAUUUCAGGUGUAGCGGUGAAAUGCGUAGAGAUCUGAAGGAAUACCGGUGGCGAAGGCGGCCCCCUGGAUUGAUACUGACACUGAGGUGCGAAAGCGUGGGUAGCAAACA
rnacentral:rRNA from 1 species